rnacentral:rRNA from 1 species
UACGGGGGGAGCAAGCGUUGUUCGGAUUUACUGGGCGUAAAGGGCGCGUAGGCGGCUUCGUAAGUCGGCCGUGAAAUCUCCAGGCUUAACUUGGAGGGGUCGGGCGAGACUGCGGAGCUCGAGGUGGGCAGAGGGCAGUGGAAUUCCGGGUGUAGUGGUGGAAUGCGUAGAGAUCCGGAGGAACACCAGUGGCGAAGGCGGCUGCCUGGGCCUGGCCUGACGCUGAGGCGCGAAAGCGUGGGGAGCGAGCCGG